CGGAAGAGGAGGCCGCGGGUCCGAACGGCGGCGCUUCGGAGAGCGCAUAGGCGGCGCCACGCGUGCCCGAGCGAUGGCGCAGCCGGUUGUAAAAACGGGCUGAAGCGCGCUUGAAAAAGUUUUAAUUCUUUUUUCCCCGAAAUAAACAUCGCUUGCAACGUCUGACUGCUCGAGCGAGCGCCCCGCCAUGACGGCCCUGCGGCCUGAGAAAGGGGCGGCGGGACGGAGCGCGUGCACGGCAAAAUAACGAGGCUGUGUGGUGCGGUAUCGUCCGGUAAUGAGCCAUUAGAGCCUAAGAAAAUUCAGUGACCUUGCUUCUCAAUAAAAGUACCGCUCAAGCUGUCGGGUAAAACUGCAGCUGCAGCGUCAGCCGAGCGAGCUGCCUGCACAAACACGGCUAUUGCUAGCUCUUCAUACCGCCAGAACGAGUUCGGAAGCGUUUAAAAAGCGCGUAACAGCAUAAGGGAGCGCGCUUAGUACCGCUGGGCAGAUGCUGAGAUAAAUAUCAGUUUCAAAACAGCAACACGUGCAAUCAAACUAUUGAAUUCAAGCUCUUUAAGGCUGUGGAACAAACCUUGAGGAGAAGCCAGGUGCUUACAUACGCCACGAGCCAAUUUGUUUUAAAUGGAGAGGUAAAGAACUGUGAAGUUGUAGGAAUGUUUAAGGCCAUCGGAAAACCAGAGCCUGCAGGUUAACGAGAAGUUCUUUAAAAUGUGUAGCACCACACUUGCACUGCAGUGGACCAAGCAAAGAAAACAAGCUGGACCCUUACAAUCAACCAUAAUGUUGACUGACAGACCCCCUGAACAGGCCAGAAAACCAGUUAAUGAAUCUAUGUGCCAUACUGUGACUCGAGGCAAUUUUUCAGUAUACUGUUUAUUAGCUGCAUGUAUUGAGAUUAAAGGAGUCAGUGCAAAUUCCCAGAUUAAACAUGUAUUAAGUACUUGUUUAUAGUUAUUAUCGUUACACAUCUCCCUCUAUCAGCAUACAGUAGAACAGCUAUUCUAAAGACCAUUUUCAUACACGAAAAGGCUUACAACUUUGCAUCUCAAAUAAGAGGCCUCUCAAACACCCACGUUUUAUUAAUAAAUUUAAAUUAUGCUUCAAAAAAAAAACAAAAAAACUUA